UACGGAGGGUGCGAGCGUUGUCCGGAAUCACUGGGCGUAAAGGGCGCGUAGGUGGCCUGUGGAAGUCUGCGGUGAAAGCCCGGCGCUCAACGCCGGGUCGGCCGUGGAUACUCUCGGGCUUGAGCUUACUAGAGGCAGAUGGAAUUCCGGGUGUAGCGGUGGAAUGCGUAGAGAUCCGGAAGAACACCGGUGGCGAAGGCGGCCCACUGGCUCGACACUGACGCUGAGGUGCGAAAGCGUGGGGAGCAAACAGG
rnacentral:rRNA from 1 species